rnacentral:lncRNA from 10 species
GGAAGAGCUGGGGCAGAGAGAGAAACAACAGCUUCUUUGUCUGGUUCUCUCAGAAGCCAACUCUGAGGCAAGGAUUCCUAGGAAAGACUAUCUUAAGAGUGAGAGGUGGAAUUUUAUUAUCUAUGACAGCUGUGAUUGAUUAGUGAUGUCUGCCUUGGCCCAGGAUGGGAGACAACAGUACCUAUACUGCACAUUGUACAUCCCUGACCUCAGGAAACCUCAGCAGUCAGAAGGAGUUCAAGCAAUGUGGGACUGCUCUAUUUGCUCCCUUGACUGUGAGUGAUUUAAAGAUACUGGGUCUUGCUCCUUCACCCAAACUGGAGUGCAGUGGCACGAUCGAUCACAGCUCACCGCAGCCUUGAACUCCUAGGGCUGACACCAUCCUCCCGCCUGAGCCUCCUGAGUGGCUGGAACUACAGGAGUGCACCACCAUGCACCUAAUUGGUAUUUUAAAUGAUAACAACCACACGAAUAAUAUUAACAAUAAUGAUGAUGGUGAUAAUGACAGCUGCCACUUAUAUCCAUGGGCCAAGCAUUGUGCCACGCAUUUUGCUUACAUCUUCACACAAAAUCUACCAGGGAGGGAGUGUCUUUAACUGUCAUUUUACAGAUGGGGAAACUGAGGCUCUUAUGGGGAAGCCACUGGCCUGAGGUCAAGCACUGGAAUGUGACUGAGCCAAAAUGUGGCAGCAGAUCUGACUAUCGGCCUUUGUGGUUCACGAUUAUUGCCUCCAUUACAGUGCUGCCUGUGUGCUGGUUCUCGCAUGACAGGGAGGGUUGUGAGUAGACAGAGGGGUUGCAGCAGGACUGGCCCCUACCGUGUCAAAAGGGACAGGUCACAGGCUGAGCAGGAUGGGGCGGCAGGGGCAGGCUGCCUCCCCACACGCAGAGGUCCCACCCCAGCUCCCUACCAGCAGCAGACUGGGAGCCCUAGUGUGCCCAGCGCCCCCAUGAUUGGCAGCCUGCAGAUGGCAGGGGUGCCUUGGAAUUUAUUAUCCAAGCAUGCCUUUCCGAGGGGGCCUCACUGCCUGACACUGCUUUAUCGGAAAGCUGGGAAUGGUUAGCUGAGCCCAUCUGUUAGCCAAAGAGGGGAACUCAGUGGGUGGGGAAGUCUGUGGAGUCAUUUAAAAGGAAUUUCUCUGAUGCUGAGGCCAGGGCAGAAGGUUAUCUGCCCGUGGGCCGUUGGGCUGCCUGGUUUGGGGUAUUGGGGGCUUGGGGGUGGUGUGUGUGUGUUUGGUGGGGGACUCUCGUUGCUUGUUCUAAACCAAAAAUUGCUAGAGCCCUUCCCCCUUCUGAACAACAAUUUGAACUCUGCAGUGCUCUUUCAUUGCUGAAACCACCACAUUAGCAUCGUCAGUGUCUUGGUGACGAAUCUAGGACAGAUGGGGAUAAAUGCAGUGAUCUGAAUUAAUACUGGGGUGGCUAAUGAAUCCAGGAGCCAGGAAAUAAUUAGGAGAAGUUACUGCUCCUGACAUGGCAAAUAGAAGCUGUGUGUUAGAUGCCUUCUUCUCUCUCCCCUCCCACCAACCAAGAUGCCCCGGAAGACAGCUGUGCAGCCACCUGGGGUGGGGGACACUUGGAUGUCAGGACUUGAUCUUGGGUGAGGAUUCUGGGACAUUUAUGACAGAGGCUGGUGAACAGCAGGUGGAGACAGGAGAAUGGCGGUUCUUCCAUUGUAUAUCAAAGGUUCUUCUGUGCUUGGAAAAAGCACUGGACUGGGAGCCCAGAGGCCUGGGUUCAAGUGCAGGCUCCUACUGGAUCAUCCUAAGGCAUGUGGUUCCCUCCUCCAAUGCUCAAUGAAAGUAGAGCAUGAUCGAGGGUAGCAUGCACUGUUUGCUGCCCAGGGGCAGGCCCAUGCUAAAUGAUUUGCAUAGGGCUCUCAUUUAAUCUUCCCCCACAGCUCUAGUACUCUGUUUGUUCUCACUCUACCAAGUCCAAUUGUUUCAAUAGCUCAUUCAAGGGCAUGCAGUUGAUAGCAGAGCUGGAUUCAAACCCAGAAAUCAACUCAAAGGUCUGAGCCCUUGACCAUACCAUGUCACUGCCUUUUGCCACCAAGAGCCAGAUAAUCAUUGAUGUUUCUUCCAACACUGACAUAUUUUUAGGCCUUCAUGAUUCUUGUAGAUAUCUUGUAGAUAUCUGCUUUGCAAUAUGGGGAGUGAAAGGGAGUUGAGCUAUGCUUUUGUAAUUGGGUGUCUGAAAAGGCUGGGCCCCUAUUAUAUAUGAUCAUACGCUUUAUUCUUCCUUUCUAAAACUUAGCAUGUUUGCAAUUGAAUAAUUAAGUGUUUAUUGUUUAAUGGUUAUCUACCCUGCUAGACUGAGGCUCCAAAAAGAUCUCAUCUAUUUUGCUCACUGUUAUGUCCCCAGUGCAGAGAAGAGUGGAUGAUAUGUUGUGUUCGAAUUGAUAUCAUUUGACUGUGUCCCCACACAAAUCUCAUCUUGAAUUGUAGCUCCCACAAUUCCCAUGUGACAUAGGAGGGACCCGGUGGGAGAUAAUAGAAUCAUGGGGGUGGUUUCCCCCAUACUGUUCUCAUGGUAGUGAAUAAGUCUCAUGAGAGCUGAUGGUUUUAUAAGGGGUUUUCCCUUUCACUUGGCUCUCACUCUUUCUUGCCUGCCACCAUGUAAAACGUGCCUUUUGCCUUUUUCCAUGAUUAUGAGGCCUCCCCAGCCACAUGGAACUGAGAGUCCAUUAAACUCCUUUUUCU